CACUCACAUUAUAAUAUCUAUCUUAUCUUCAGUCUGAUGACAAGUUUGAGAAAUCCCUUGGAGAAUUUGGACUUUGCAACUGCUCAAGACAAGACAAGUGGACAGUUUUAAUAACCUUCCUGUGAAUAUUAUAAAGGCCUUCAGAAAGGAUCAUUAGCACUACUCCAGAGGUAACAACUAAGUACCUAUGGAUGCCUUGGAAGAUCUAAAGAAAAAUAAGACAAAGUUUCUGUCACUGAGCCACUUGAUAUAAAUUGGCUUUGCAGAAUCAGGUCAGGUGUGGAAGAGGGCUAUCUCAUGCUGCAGAUCCAAAGGUUCCAGUCAAAAGUCAAAUACCCAAAUAAAUAUAUGAAGAAAUGUUCACCAUCACUGGUCAUUCAAGAAAAGCAAAUUAAAACAGCAUUGAGAUUUCAUCUCACUCCAGAAAGAAUGGCUGCCAUCAAGAAAACAACUGUCAAAUGCCCAGAACUCAGAGUCCCAGUGAGUCUGUAUUAGGAGGCCAAAUGGAAGGCAGCACAUGGGCACCCAAAAUGAUGGCAAAGACUGGAGCUCCUCUGAAGAAACAGAAGAAAAACCCAGGGCACUGUUGCAGUUCAUUACACACUUGCUGCCCUCUCCGGAUGUGGAUUUCCCUGCAAGCACUUUGCACAACCCCCACCAGAUCUCUAAGGGUCUUGCUAUGCAAUUGCUACCCUUGGGCUUACUUUGUAGCCCAAAGGUCUCGAACUUGCAACAAUCCUCCUGCCUCAGCUUUCCAAGUGCUGAGUUACAGGCAUGAGCCACCACACCCAGUUUAGCAUGAGACUCCAAGGAGAGCUUGCUAAAAUUCUAAGGACCAGCUCUAGGCCAGCUCUUGUCUGGGAUGCCAGCAUUACCAUCAGCUCUACUGCCAAGCCUGUGUGGUGACCAGCAGAAAGACCAUUGAGUAAGCCUCCUCCAUGCUCUAAGACACUUAUUGGCUGAUGAGCUAGAUCAAAGAUUAAGAACAGCAUGAGGCAAGAACUCUGUUUUGAUGAACAUUAAAUAUCCAGUGCCUUAAUAUACUGCUUAUCAUAUAGAUGCUCAAUAAAUAUGUUCUACCUGAAUGAAUAGCUCUCUUGUCUAUGAAUUACACAUUUUUACUUGUAGAUUUGAAACUACCAAGUACAUGGUUGUUGCUCUUGUUAUAUUGUCUGUUUUUUCCUUUGGUCAUAAGAAUGAGAUCUAAUAGUGUAUUCAGGAAUACACAACAUAGUGAUUAAGUACAAGC